CGAAAUUUUUGGCGGGAAGUUUUUUCCGAAAUUUUUUGGCGGGAAAAUUUUGGCGGGAAAUUUUAUUUUGGAAUAUUUUAAGCGAAAAAUAUUAAUACUUCAUUUUAUUGACC
rnacentral:sRNA from 1 species